rnacentral:rRNA from 1 species
UACAUAGGCAGCGAGCGUUGUUCGGAGUUACUGGGCGUAAAGGGUGUGUAGGCGGUUGUUUUAAGUUUGGUGUGAAAUCUCCCGGCUCAACUGGGAGGGUGCGCCGAAUACUGAAUGACUCGAAGUGUGGGAGAGGUGAGGUGGAAUUCCUGGUGUAGCGGUGAAAUGCGUAGAUAUCAGGAGGAACACCGGUGGUGUAGACGGCUCACUGGACCAUAACUGACGCUGAGACACGAAAGCGUGGGUAGCAAACAGG